rnacentral:rRNA from 1 species
UGGCGGCGCGUUUAAGCAUGCAAGUCGAGCGGCAAGCAGUAGCAAUACUGCCUAGAGCGGCGGACGGGUGAGUAACACGUGGAUAAUCUGCCUUUGGUUGGGAUAUACCAUGGAAACAUGGAGUAAUACCGAAUAAGAUACAGCUUCACAUGAAGUUUUGUGAAAGUGGCUUCGGCCACGCCGAAAGAUGAGUCCGCGGCCCAUUAGCUAGACGGCAGGGUAAAGGCCUACCGUGGCAAUGAUGGGUAGCCGGCCUGAGAGGGUGGUCGGCCACAUUGGAACUGAGACACGGUCCAGACUCCUACGGGAGGCAGCAGCUAAGAAUCUUCCACAAUGGACGAAAGUCUGAUGGAGCGACGCCGCCGUGAACGAUUGAAGGCCGUAAGGUUGUAAAGUUCUUUUCUACUGGAGGAAUAAGCUUUUGAGGGAAUGCGAGAGUGAUGACGUUAAAGUAGGAAUAAGCCCCGGCUAACUACGUGCCAGCCGCCGC